AAAAAGCCCUUUUUUGUGUUCUUUAUGUUGUUUAGAUAUUUGAGCUGUCAGAAAAGCAAAAAAUAUUUGUGUCAGUCAAAUUUAUGCUUGAAAUGUAUGUUUUUUUCUGAUCAACGACAGGAGUCUAAUCUUUCUUUUGGUUGGUUCCAUCUCUAUAUAGCCAUAGAACACAAUAUUCUGUGUGCCUUGAAGCCAAAAUCGUCUAAAAUGGCCGGUACUGCAGGGGAUGUCUUUUCAAAAAUUGCUGGGAUUGAAUGAGUUAAAUAUAUUCUGAAAAAACCGUGAUAGAGUGAAGCCCUAAAACUAAAAGCGUGAUGUGGCGACAGACGACUGUACUGUGUAUGUAACAUUUUAUAUUUACAAUGUAGAUGAAAUAUUGCUGUGGUUAGACCAACACCUGACUGCAUGGGUUAUAGACUACCUCACCAACAGACCACAGUAUGUGAGGCUCCGUCACUGUGUGUCUGACAUGGUACUCUGCAGCACAGGUGCCCCUCAGGGUAUGGUGCUCUCCCCUUUCCUCUUCACCCUCUACACCUCGGACUUCACACACAACUCCACACAGUGUCAUAUCCAGAAGUUCUCCGAUGACACAGCCAUUGUGGGUUGUGUUUCAGAGGGGAACGAUCUGGAAUACAGGACGGUCAUCAGGGACUUUGUCAGCUGGAGUGAGCUUAACCAGCUACAACUCAACACCAGCAAGACAAAGGAGAUGAUCAUUAACUUCCAGAGGAAAACAUCUCACUUCACACCGGUGAACAUCCAGGGAGUGGACAUAGAGUUGGUAGACAGCUACAAAUUCCUGGGUGUUCACCUUAACAACAAACUGGACUGGUCCGUCAACACCCACGCCCUCUACAAGAAGGGCCAGAGUGGCCUCCACCUGCUGAGGAGACUGAGGUCCUUUGGUGUGUGCAGGACUCUUUUACGGACCUUUUAUGACUCUGUGGUGGCCUCAGCCAUCUUCUAUGCUGUGGGCUGCUGGAGAGGGGGCAGCACGGACAGGGACAGGAGCAGGAUCAAUAGGCUGAUCAGGAGAGCGAGCUCUGUCCUGGACAGUCCUCUGGACUCCGUGGAGGAAGUGGGGGAGAGAAGGAUGUUGGCUAAGCUGACAUCCAUCAUGGACAACACCUCUCACCCGCUACAUGACACUGUGGGUUCCCUUAGCAGCACCUUCAGCAGCAGACUGUUACACCCACGGUGUAAGAAGGAGAGGUUCCGCAGGUCCUUCAUACCGACCGCUGUCAGGCUCUACAACACCUGUACCACCUGAACCAUGUUGUAGUCAAUAUGUAUUCUUUACACUGUAUUCUUUACUUGCGUAUCUUGCUUGCUGCUGUAACAAGUGAAUUUCCCCGCUGUGGGAUAAAUAAAGUACAAAUACAAAUAGACAGUUACGAGGGCACAGAGUCAGACCUGAGGGCCAUGGUGUAGUGGUGAAUGGCUUCUUGGUACCGACUGUUGUCCUUCAGGAAGUUGGCAUAGUUAUAGUGGACUUUGGCAUUGUGAGGGAGAGUCUGGAUACCAGAACUGAAACAAGGAGGAGAGAAAAAUCAUUAUUUCAGCUCCAAAAUGGUUAAAAAAAAAAAAAAAAAAGAAGGAAUUUUACAUCAAAAAAAAAAAAAAAAAAAAAACUGUGAUUGUCAAUUGUCUUUUAUUUCAAUUACAUUAAACAUUUGAAUAGCACUCAAGUCACAGUAGAUCACAGACCUGGGCAUGGCCAGAAAAUUAUAAAAUAGGGAAAUAGCCAUCUCAUGAACAUGUCUAGAUUCAAUCAUGCAUUAAGUAAAUGUAGAACACUGCUCAAUAUUACAAUGUUAACAAAAGUCAUAUAUAGUUGCAGUUUAGAGUAUCAGGUGAUCUACCUGGAUCACAUAUUUUUUUGUUCUUUGCAUUGUCUAUAUUUGUUGGCAUAUAUAUGUGGAGUCAAAACACUGCCAUUAAGUUUCAGCAUUGAAAAAUGAAUGUAGCCAUGAAAAAGACGUACACGUGAUGUUCUUUAAUGUAACUUUCUUAAGCAUGUUCGAAAUAAAUUAAACCAUUACCAUAAGCAAUCUUACCUCAUCUCAUGUAUAUAAUGCAUGUACAGCAGUUGAAAAGAAGACUUCUAAUGGUGGAAUGCGGGAGCACAGAGUGCAGUGUACCUGUGCUGUUUAUUAUAUAUUAAUGUGACAAACAUACACACCUGAACAGGGCCUCCCUGGAGAGCCAGACUUGAUUCUGCUGCAAUGUCUUCCAGGAGAAGAGCAGGAGCAGGAGCAGCAUUGAGGCGCUAAGGACUGCUGUGCCCCAACGGCCAACCAAUGAACUAAGACGAUUCAGGCCAUGAACCACCAGGAUACAGUAACCCAUACUGCAGGAGGAGUUGAAUGAGCAAAUUUAUGGAGGAAGGGGAGAAAAAUAUGAGGCGACGUCAACACUUGCCACUUUGAAGUCAAACAUUGUCAUCAUGAGACUCCCAAGGACUUUUUCACACAUUUGAGGCAUGGCAUUCAUCCAGGCUUAAUUGAGAUCUCCACCAUCAAGUCCUUCCUCCUGCCAUGACCUGCAUUCAUCCAUUUGCAUUAAUGACGCACACAGUUGACCCGUCCACACAGGAUAUCAAAAAGAUCGCCCAGUAGCCGAGCCAAUUUCACCAAGAUGCAAACCUCCACACUACCCUUAGAACAGAGCAAAGGGGACCGACAAGCAGUGUCAUAGGGGAGAACAGCCAUGUCCAAAGACAUUACAGAUUGUCCAGUCAAAUGAUAACUACAUCAUAUCUUAACAUAAUGCAGCUUACAAUCACCGCCUAUCAGAUGAUGGCUGCGCCUCUGAAAGAAAGUGUGCGAGCCCUGACUGUGAUAUUAGGGCAUGCUAACUCUGGAGUAUCCUACAUUUCUCGCAGUUACAAAGGCACCUUGGAAUUGUUAGCAACGGCAACAAUUCUCAACUCAAUAAUAGCCAGACAUACUGCUAUCAGGAAGGCCAAAAUUCUAACUGGAAUUGUGCAGUACAGCUGGAACCACCAUGUGUUUGCCAAAAGGCAUUGCUAUACAGACCUGAUCAAAAUCUUAAGACCAGUUGAAAAAUUGCUAGAAUUUGCAUUUUGGAUCUUCAUUUGGAUCUUAAUGAGGUUUUAAGUAGAGCUACAAUAUGCAAAUUUGGGGAUGGAUGGCAAGAGAAGUUUAUAAAAAUGGCCAUCAGUUCCAGACAGUUGAUGCCCUUUGUGAAGCCAUCUUCACCACUUGGAGCAAUGUUCCCAAUAGCCUCCUGGAAACACUAGCAUCAAGCAUGCCCAAACCGAGAACGGUGGAGCUACUCAUUACUGAGUCCUACUGAGAAAAGUUUUUGUUCUGGUUUGGAGGAUUUUUUGGUAUUUUUUGAGCGAUGGUCUUAAACUUUUGAUCAGCUGAUAAACAGCCUAUUUCAGUUUUACUGUUGUUUUCAAUAAAUUAUUUUUUCAAAGUG